UGCGUAGGGGGCGAGCGUUGUCCGGAUUUAUUGGGCGUAAAGAGCUUGUAGGCGGUUUGUCGCGUCUGCUGUGAAAUUUCGGGGCUCAACCCCGAACUUGCAGUGGGUACGGGCAGACUAGAGUGUGGUAGGGGAGACUGGAAUUCCUGGUGUAGCGGUGAAAUGCGCAGAUAUCAGGAGGAACACCUAUGGCGAAGGCAGCUCGCUGGGACGGUACUGACGCUGAGGCGCGAAAGCGUGGGGAGCGAACAGG
rnacentral:rRNA from 1 species